rnacentral:rRNA from 1 species
CUCAGGAUGAACGCUAGCGGCGUGCCUAAUGCAUGCAAGUCGAACGGGAACCUUUACAUUCGUCUGAAGGGGAGAGUGGCGCACGGGUGAGUAACACGUUGGUGACCUACCCCAGAGAGGGGAUAACCAUUGGAAACGAUGGCUAAUACCCCGGAUGUCCCUACUGUUAGAGAGUAGUGACUAAAGCUCCGGCGCUCUGGGAGGGGCCUGCGGCCCAUCAGCUUGUUGGUAGGGUAAUGGCCUACCAAGGCAAAGACGGGUAGGGGACGUGAGAGCGUGACCCCCCACACUGGUACUGAUACACGGACCAGAUACCUACGGGUAGCAGCAGCAAGGAAUAUUGCCCAAUGGACGAAAGUCUGAGGCAGCAACGCCGCGUGGAGGAUGAAGGCCUUCGGGUCGUAAACUCCUUUUCUGGGGGAAGAGAAAGGACGGUACCCCAGGAAUAAGUCUCGGCUAACUACGUGCCAGCAGCCGCGGUAAAACGUAGGAGGCGAGCGUUAUCCGGAUUUACUGGGCGUAAAGCGCGUGCAGGCGGUUUCUUAAGUCGGACGUGAAAGCUCCUGGCUCAACUGGGAGAGGUCGUUCGAAACUAGGGAACUUGAGGAUGGUAGAGGAGAGUGGAAUUCCCGGUGUAGUGGUGAAAUGCGUAGAUAUCGGGAGGAACACCAGUGGCGAAGGCGGCUCUCUGGGCUAUUCCUGACGCUAAGACGCGAAAGCUAGGGGAGAGAACGGGAUUAGAAACCCCGGUAUUCCUAGCCGUAAACGAUGUCAACUAGGUGUAGGGGGUAUCCAACCCCCCUGUGCUGUAGCUAACGCGUUAAGUUGACCGCCUGGGGACUACGGCCGCAAGGCUAAAACUCAAAGGAAUUGACGGGGACCCGCACAAGCAGCGGAGCGUGUGGUUUAAUUCGAGGCUACGCGAAGAACCUUACCAGGGUUUGACAUGUCGGUGGUAGAGAGGCGAAAGCCGAUCGACCCUUCGGGGUGCCGUCACAGGUGCUGCAUGGCUGUCGUCAGCUCGUGCCGUGAGGUGUUAGGUUAAGUCCUGUAACGAGCGCAACCCUCGUCGUUAGUUACAUGUGUCUAACGAGACUGCCGGGAUAAGCCGGAGGAAGGUGAGGAUGACGUCAAGUCAGCAUGGCCUUUAUAUCCUGGGCUACACACACGCUACAAUGGCCGGUACAAUGGGUCGCGAAGCCGCGAGGCGAACC